GGGCGAUUAGCUCAGUUGGUAGAGCGCUUCGUUUACACCGAAGAUGUCGGCGGUUCGAGCCCGUCAUCGCCCACCA
rnacentral:tRNA from 551 species